AUUGAACGCUGGCGGAAUGCUUUACACAUGCAAGUCGAACGGCAGCACGGGGCAACCUGGUGGCGAGUGGCGAACGGGUGAGUAAUACAUCGGAACGUGCCCAAUCGUGGGGGAUAACGUAGCGAAAGUUACGCUAAUACCGCAUACGAUCUACGGAUGAAAGCGGGGGAUCGCAAGACCUCGCGCGAAUGGAGCGGCCGAUGUCAGACUAGGUAGUUGGUGGGGUAAAGGCUCACCAAGCCGACGAUCUGUAGCUGGUCUGAGAGGACGACCAGCCACACUGGGACUGAGACACGGCCCAGACUCCUACGGGAGGCAGCAGUGGGGAAUUUUGGACAAUGGGGGCAACCCUGAUCCAGCCAUGCCGCGUGAGUGAAGAAGGCCUUCGGGUUGUAAAGCUCUUUCGGCCGGGAGGAAAUCGCACGGGCUAAUACCCUGUGUGGAUGACGGUACCGGAAUAAGAAGCACCGGCUAACUACGUGCCAGCAGCCGCGGUAACAC
rnacentral:rRNA from 1 species